rnacentral:rRNA from 1 species
GACGAACGCUGGCGGUGUGCCUAAUACAUGCAAGUAGAACGCUGAAGGAGGAGCUUGCUCCUCUUGAUGAGUUGCGAACGGGUGAGUAACGCGUAUGCAACCUGCUUUGCAGCGGGGGAUAACAUUUGGAAACGAUAGCUAAUACCGCAUAAGAUUAGACGUUCCAUGACAUUCACUUAAAAUUUGGAAUUGCAUCACUACCAUAUGGAGCUGCCGUGUAUUCGCUAGUUGGGGGGGUAAAGGCAUACCAACGCGACGAUACAUAGCCGACCUGAGAGGGUGAUCGGCCACACUGGGAAUGGGACACGGCCCAGACUCCUACGGGAGGCAGCAGUAGGGGAACUUCGGAAAUGGACGGAAGUCUGACCGAGCAACGCCGCGUGAGGGAAGAAGGUUUUCGGAUCGUAAAGCUCUGUUGUAAGGGAAGAAAGAGUGUGAGAGUGGAAAGUUCACACUGUGACGGUAUCUUACAAGAAAGGGACGGCUAACUACGUG